AUUUUAAACUCGAUUCGUUUCAUUUUGUUACUAUACACAUCGUUUUUGUUUGUUUGUGUGUUUUGUGGUAAACUAAAGCUGCUAAGGAAACAGUCAUCAUGUUUAGGAUGAAUGCAUCUAUUAAGUGAUGAUCAGAUGAUGGUUUUUAUUCACUGGCAUUGGUUUCACAGUUGAGAGGACUGCUUGGUCCUGUUCUCUGUGGAUCUGGAUUUAAAUGAGCAUUUGCCACAGAGGAUUACACUGGAAUAAUUUCAGAAUUAUAGUUAGAUUUUUAUUACCAUGCAACUUCCAUGUGUUAAAUUUUCAGGCAAAAUGAAAGUUGAAGCUUCUGCUGCUAUUAUGGGUUUUCAAUUACAGUGAAACCAUCCCUAUACAUGCGGCAGGAAAAAAGGGAGGCAGUGUCAUCUUACCGUGUGAAUUUAAGGCCAGGGAGAUUUUUCAUAUUCGACUGAACAGACAGCCAACUUCCUUUGAAGGAGAAAUCUUUGUGUAUGAUAAGAAAUACUGCAGUAAGCGAGUUUGUAAAAAAGGAGCGUGUGACGUCGUCAUCAAGGAUCUGAGACUGAGUGACGCUGGGAAAUACAUUUUAAACGUCUAUUACAAUAAUGCUGAGUCCCUGCUGGAGCCACAAGUCAGGACGUACCAACUUCAUAUUUAUGAUGAUAUUUCGGUCAAAAUCGGUGAGGUGCUGAAGCUGGAUGUUCUGUUGCCAGAUGCUCUUCAAGUUAUGCAUCAAAACACAAGCAGCGCAGAAUGGAAGAUGGUGUGGAAGAGAGGCAGCAAAUCAAGGGUUAAUAUAAAACAAGAUCGACUGAAGGACAGUAAUGGGAGUCUGAGCAUUAAAAGGUUUAUGGCUGAAGAUGCAGGAACAUACAGAGUUCUGGGCUAUGAAGGAGAAAUCUUGAUCACAGUCACAGUCACAGUCACUGAAGAGAAGUCAAAAUCCCCUACAGAAUCAAAAGGAAAUCUGAACUACACGGAUGAUGAACAAAAGCGUAAUCACUGGAGUUUGUUCGGGCCGGCGGGAUUGGUUGUGUUGUUUGUAUUGUUUCUGAUUCUGAUUGCUGCUAUCAUCAAAAAGAUGCAGUGACUUCUUUAACAUCUGGACAUAGGCUCUGUCCAUCUGUCUUCAGAGCCAAGAGAUCUGUAGAGGAUUUUGUCAACAUGUUCAUGCAAUAUACACUGUAUUUACAACCCUAAUUCCAAAAAAGAAGUGAUGCUGUGUAGAAUGUAAAUAAAAAAACAGAAUGCAAUGA